AUUGGUAUUGUUGGGUUGCAUAGUACAUGUACUUAAUAACUGCCAAAUUGUUUUCUAAAGUGCAUGUACCAUUUUUGCAUUUCCAUAAGCAGU
rnacentral:pre_miRNA from 1 species